AUUCUAUGAUUAAACACUAACCUAUAAAGAUGGCAAAGAUGGCGUAGUGUGGUCUAGGAGAAACAGCUGGACUAAUUGGAGAAUCAAGAAAAGAAAAGCGCCGAAAGGAGGGGCGGAACUGGACCAAAGAGGAGAGGGACUAUAAAAUUAAAGAUGAGCAUAUUUAGUUUGAGGAGGUAGUUUGUGAGAAAGGAAAUACGUUUUCUGGUGUAAUGAAGAGACUUUCUUCAUCUAAAGUAUAAGUAGGAUUCCUAAUUCCUUCUGCAUUCUGUUUCUUUUACUAUCCCUCAAGAUUCAGAAACGUAGGGAACCAUGUCAUGGUUAAAUUAGUUUAUAAAGAUUGGCUGCGUGAGCUGCUGGUCUCCUGCUGUCACGUGCCAAAGAUCCAUCCCCUGGUCUGUGAGGAGGAGGAGGAGGAAGAGAUAUUGGAAGAGAAAUGGGAGGAUGAAGUGAUGGUUAUGAAGAUCAGAAGGAAUCUUUAGUGAAGGUGAAAAUAAUUUAUGUAAGACCAAGUGACCAGGGGAUGGAUGCCACUGAUACCAAUUUAGAUGGGGAGUGUUGAUCUUUGUUCAUCAGGAACAGGGAGGCCAGAGAAAAUCCCGCUCGCUGGGGAGCGGGGAGGCAGCUCCCUCAUUCAAGAAGAAUUCAGGGAUGGGAUGAGGACUUUGGGAUGAGAAACUAUUUGAGGAUAGUUCAGACGAGAGGAGGAAGAUUUUGAGGAAGCAAACAUGUUUUUUAGCGCAACGAAUUGACUUUCUUCAUCUAAAGCAUUCUGCAGUCUGAGAAGGCUGGGUGAGCUGCUGGUCUCCUGCUGUCGUGCCACAAAAAUCCAUCCCCUGGUCUGUGAGGAGGAGGACACAGUGAGUGUAAUGAAGGAUGGAAAGGAAAGAAGGGUAAAGGUGAGAACGAUCUACGUAAGGCCAAGGGACCAGAGGAUGGAUACCACAGAUGCUACUACCAAUGGCAGUGAUAGCAGUGAGGCCAGCAGCUCCAGUACAGCUCUACCCCGCUC